rnacentral:rRNA from 1 species
UACGUAGGGUGCGAGCGUUGUUCGGAUUUACUGGGCGUAAAGCGCACGUAGGCGGAUCGUUAAGUCGGGGGUGAAAUCCUGGAGCUCAACUCCAGAACUGCCUUCGAUACUGGAAAGCUCGAGUCCGGGAGAGGUGAGUGGACUGCGAGUGUAGAGGUGAAAUUCGUAGAUAUUCGCAAGAACACCAGUGGCGAAGGCGGCUCACUGGCCCGGUACUGACGCUGAGGUGCGAAAGCGUGGGGGAGCAAACAGG